rnacentral:rRNA from 1 species
GAUGAACGCUGGCGGCGUGCCUAAUACAUGCAAGUCGAGCGAACGGACGAGAAGCUUGCUUCUCUGAUGUUAGCGGCGGACGGGUGAGUAACACGUGGAUAACCUACCUAUAAGACUGGGAUAACUUCGGGAAACCGGAGCUAAUACCGGAUAAUAUUUUGAACCGCAUGGUUCAAAAGUGAAAGACGGUCUUGCUGUCACUUAUAGAUGGAUCCGCGCUGCAUUAGCUAGUUGGUAAGGUAACGGCUUACCAAGGCAACGAUGCAUAGCCGACCUGAGAGGGUGAUCGGCCACACUGGAACUGAGACACGGUCCAGACUCCUACGGGAGGCAGCAGUAGGGAAUCUUCCGCAAUGGGCGAAAGCCUGACGGAGCAACGCCGCGUGAGUGAUGAAGGUCUUCGGAUCGUANAACUCUGUUAUUAGGGAAGAACAUAUGUGUAAGUAACUGUGCACAUCUUGACGGUACCUAAUCAGAAAGCCACGGCUAACUACGUGCCAGCAGCCGCGGUAAUACGUAGGUGGCAAGCGUUAUCCGGAAUUAUUGGGCGUAGCGCGCGUAGCGGUUUUUUAGUCUGAUGUGAAAGCCCACGGCUCAACCGUGGAGGGUCAUUGGAAACUGGAAAACUUGAGUGCAGAAGAGGAAAGUGGAAUUCCAUGUGUAGCGGUGAAAUGCGCAGAGAUAUGGAGGAACACCAGUGGCGAAGGCGACUUUCUGGUCUGUAACUGACGCUGAUGUGCGAAAGCGUGGGGAUCAAACAGGAUUAGAUACCCUGGUAGUCCACGCCGUAAACGAUGAGUGCUAAGUGUUAGGGGGUUUCCGCCCCUUAGUGCUGCAGCUAACGCAUUAAGCACUCCGCCUGGGGAGUACGACCGCAAGGUUGAAACUCAAAGGAAUUGACGGGGACCCGCACAAGCGGUGGAGCAUGUGGUUUAAUUCGAAGCAACGCGAAGAACCUUACCAAAUCUUGACAUCCUUUGACAACUCUAGAGAUAGAGCCUUCCCCUUCGGGGGACAAAGUGACAGGUGGUGCAUGGUUGUCGUCAGCUCGUGUCGUGAGAUGUUGGGUUAAGUCCCGCAACGAGCGCAACCCUUAAGCUUAGUUGCCAUCAUUAAGUUGGGCACUCUAAGUUGACUGCCGGUGACAAACCGGAGGAAGGUGGGGAUGACGUCAAAUCAUCAUGCCCCUUAUGAUUUGGGCUACACACGUGCUACAAUGGACAAUACAAAGGGCAGCGAAACCGCGAGGUCAAGCAAAUCCCAUAAAGUUGUUCUCAGUUCGGAUUGUAGUCUGCAACUCGACUACAUGAAGCUGGAAUCGCUAGUAAUCGUAGAUCAGCAUGCUACGGUGAAUACGUUCCCGGGUCU